rnacentral:lncRNA from 1 species
UAUACAAGGUUGGCAGCUAAUAUUAGAUUUAGAUGAAAUUUUCUCUGUUAUCAUCGUUUUAUUAUAACUUAUUGCUGAAUCCCAUGAAAUAUGUAAUGUUGAUAAUACAAAUUGUUUAAGAGUUCCUCUUAUGUUGCCUUUGAAUGUAUGCUUGAUAUCAAGCUUUUUUUUUUUUGGGUCAAUAAGUGAAAGCUUGAAUAUGCCUUGUUAUGUUGCUGUUGUAUCUGUUUACUCUCUCAUUGUAGUGUUGGUUUAAGUUUGUCAGUAAAAACGUUGAAGAAUAUAUAUGUCCUAGGGUUUGUAGUUCUCCAAAGCUUCUCUUCACUUAUUUGCUUGUUCUCAUUGUUCUAUUUAAAACCUGACUUUUAUGGGCGUGAAUAGAACAUUAUCCAUAACCGCAUCUCUUCUAGCCUCGUCAACGUCAGGUAUAAAUAAAAUAGUAUUGAUCUUCACUGGUCAGUGAGACAGAAGAUCAUUCAUUACCUAGUGUUUGUAGCUUUUGAGUGUUCCUUUUUGCUUCUCUUCAUUGCAUUUUCAUUCCUGUAUCUCUCUGGUUUCCAUACUUCACAUAACACCUGGUGGUUUCUCUCUAUGAUUAUGUAGCAAGGAAGAAUUGCUAAAGCAGAAGCCACAUUUGAGAGGCUUCUGAUGGGUGCUUCAGAAGCAAAAUUUGCUAUUUGCUAUGUCAGAAUUAUCUAAGUAGAUAGAGGAGAUGACACUGAUACUGUGAAGCUCUCAGGAUUAUCUAAAUGUAAUAUAUAUUUUGAUGUGUUUUGUACUUUUUGAAAUGAGACUUUAUCUGAUAUUACAUGUAAUGGAUAAAUUACACUCUAUUUUGAUUGUGUUGUUUGGACUAAAAACAUAUCUAGCUUAUAAUGUAAUUUUUAUGAUUUAGAUUUCUUGAAUUUCUCA